CCUGGACACGCCCAGGGUGCCUGACACCUAGAGGGUAAACAUCUCCUAGCCUGGACCCCCAGGACUCCGGGGCCAUGAGCUUCCUGCUGGGGCAGCCAGAGGCCCAGCUGUCCAGACCCAGGGGUCUUCUUCAGGCAGGUCAAGAAGCAAAGGCAAGAUGAAGAAGAGGAGGUGGAAGGCAGGCCACCUCUGGUUGGAGCUGUGCCAAGUGGCCUAAAGGAUAGACUUUUCUUCCAGCUCCCCUGAGACCCCUGUUCAGCACUGUCACCUGAAGACUUGUCUGUGCUGCUGCUGAUGGCCCCCUGCGCCAUCUUGUUUCUCUCCAGGGUGCCCCAGCAACUCUGCAAAUGACCCAGCAGGACCAACUUCCUGGUCCCAUGGCUGUUGGAUGGAGCUUAGGAGAGAGGGUAGAUGGAGCAUCGCUCAUCCAGACACCUCAGAAGGGGCAGACACCAGCACACAGAGUGCCAAGGGGGAGGAGAUGCGGAGCAAAGAACUGGAAACUUCUCGGGCAUUCACAUUGGCAACUCCUGUUCCAAGAAUUAUUAUUUAAGACAGAUCUCAAGUUUCGGGGCAGGGAUGGUGUCUUACUCAUCCUGGGCUUCAGGGCAUAUGUGUAACAGAUGCUCCAGGUGAAGCAGUGACGUUAAUCCUGGCUGAACAUUGGAAUCACCUGGGAAGAUCGAAACGCACCACCACCUGCGUCUAGGUGUGGGCUGGACAUUGGAAUUUUUUUAACGUUCCUGGUGGUUUUAAUGGGCACGCAAGAUUGAGAACUACUGAUUUAUCGUUUUCAUCAAAAGUCUGUCUGGUAAACGCUUCAGUCUUUUUCAGUCUGAAGUCUUUAUUUUGAAUUCAAUCUUAAUAAAAAUUUGGUGGCUUACAGAAUUUUAGGUUGAAAGUCAUUUUCCUCUGACUUUUGAAUAUUUUCACUCACCACCUUCCUCUUUUUUUUUCUUUUUUAGACACAGUCUCUCUGUGUUGCCCAGGCUGGACUUGAACUCCUGGGGCUCAAACCAUCCCCCUGCCUCAGCCUCCUGAGCAGUCACCUUCCACUCUUAAUGUUGGGAUGUCAGCUCUUAGCCUAAACUUUCUGGCUUUGUGUAGGUUUUUUUUUUUUUAAUCUUUUUUGCUCCAGUAGCCUUUAGAUUUUCUCUUUUUCCUCGAUAUCCUGCAUUUCUAAUGCACUGCAU
rnacentral:lncRNA from 1 species